CGAGUUUGAUCCUAGCUCAGAAUGAACGCUAGAAAUAUACAUUACACAUGCAAAUUUAUGAUUAUAUCAUAGUGAAUAGGUGAGGAUAUAUAAAUUUUUAAUUUUAAAUAGAUUAUAAUAUAUAAUAAUCUAUAAGCGCAUUUAUUUAUAUAUAAUUGUACUAUAUUAAAAAUAAUUAUUGUUUAAAAUAAAAUUUAUAUUUGAUUAACUAGUUGGUAAAAUAAAAGCCUACCAAGGUUAUGAUCAAAAAUUGGUUUUAAAGAACGUACAAUCACAUUAGGAUUGAAAUAAAGCCUAAAUUUUUUUUUAAAUCAGCAGUGAGGAAUAUUUUACAAUAAGCGUAAGCUUGAUAAAGUAAUAUUUCUUAAAGGAUGACAGUAUAUUUUUAUAUUGUAAACUUUAUAUUUUAUUUUUAAAUAUUGAUAAAAAUAAAAUAUUAGUAUUUGCUAAUUUCUGUGCCAGCAGCAGCGGUAAUACAGAAAAUACAAGCGUUAUUCACUUUAUUUGGCGUAAAGCGUUUUAAGGUUUUAUAUUAAUUUUAUUUUAAAAUAUUUAAUUUAAAUUUAAAUAAAAAAUAAAUAAUAAUAUAAUAAGAGUAUUAUAAAAGUAUUAAGAAUUUUUUGAGAAGUGGUGAAAUACAAUUAUACAAAAAAGAAUACCAAAGGCGAAAGCAUAAUACUAUAUAAUAACUGACACUUAUAAACGAAAGCUAAGGUAGCAAAUAGGAUUAGAUACCCUAGUAGUCUUAGCUGUAAACUAUGAAUAUUUUAUAUUUAUAUAAAUAUAUAAAUAUAAUAACUAACGUAAUAAAUAUUCCGCCUGAGUAGUAUAUUCGCAAGAACGAAAUUCAAAGGAAUUGACGGGAGCUUAUACAAGUGGUGGAACAUGUGGCUUAAUUCGAUGCAACACGAUAAACCUUACCAAAAUUUAACAAUAUUUUUAAUAUUAAGUGAUUAAUAAUUUAAUAAAAUAUAUAGGUAGUGCAUGGCUGUCGUCAGUUCGUGCUGUGAAGUAUUAAUUUAAGUAUUAUAACGAACGUAACCUUUUAUAAAAUAAUUUUUUAUAAUAUAUUUAUUAAAUAUAUAAAAAAGAUUACGUCAAGUCAUUAUGCUCCUUAUAUUUUGGGCUGCUCACGUGUUACAUAAAAUAUAACAAUAUUUUAUUAUAUGAAAAUAUAAUAUAUUUAAAUAUAUUUAUAGUUCUGAUUAUAAAUUGAAACUCAUUUAUAUGAGGAUGGAAUCACUAGUAAUCGCUAAUAAGAAAUAUAGCGGUGAAUAAGUUCUUAAGCUUUGUACACACCGCCCGUCACAUCUGGAAAAUAUUAUAUUAUAUAAAAAUUAUUGUAAAAUAAUAAUAUAUAAUUAUAUAAUUUAGAUGAAGUCGUAACAAGGUAGCCGUACUGGAAGGUGCGGCUG
rnacentral:rRNA from 1 species